rnacentral:lncRNA from 1 species
GGCACAGGGGCUCUGCGGCUGCAGGCCUGGUUGGUCACCCCGUCUGCAUCUGCUGGAUACCCACCCCCUCCAGAGACGGGGCUCACUGCCGCCACGGCAGGUCCCCAGGGGCGAGGUCUUCCGGCCCCACCGGUGGCACCUGAAGCACUUGGAGCCCGUGGAUUUCCUGGGCAAGGCCAAGGUGGUGGCCUCUGCCAUCCCCGACGACCAGGGCUGGGGCGUCCGCCCUCAGCAGCCACAGGGACCAGGAGCGAACCAUGAUGCCAGGUCCCUAAUCAUGGACUCCCCAAGAGCUGGCACCCACCAGGGCCCCCUCGAUGCAGAGACAGAGGUCGGUGCUGACCGCUGCACGUCGACUGCCUACCAGGAGCAGAGGCCCCAGGUGGAGCAAGUUGGCAAACAGGCUCCUCUCUCCCCAGGGCUGCCGGCAAUGGGGGGGCCUGGCCCCGGCCCCUGUGAGGACCCCGCGGGUGCUGGGGUAAGAGGCUCUAGACCCUUCACCUGUCAGUCACCUGAGGGAGGCUGAGGCCAAGCCCCAUCCCUCAGAAUCAAGGCUUGCAAGCCCCCCUCACCUGCCCAGUCUCUGUCCACACCCCUCGGGCUGAAGACGGCCCUGACCAGGCCCUGGGCCUCAGCGACCACCCCUCCCCCUCCUGCCUGGACCCAGGGAGCAGGUGCAGGGGGCUCCGAGCCCCUGGUGACUGUCACCGUGCAGUGCGCCUUCACAGUGGCCCUGAGGGCACGAAGAGGAGCCGACCUGUCCAGCCUGCGGGCACUGCUGGGCCAAGCCCUCCCUCACCAGGCCCAGCUUGGGCAACUCAGGUGGGCCAGAAAGCCCCCGGUGGCUGCGGUGGAGCUGGGCACCGCCCCGACUGAGGCAGCUGCUGGAAGAGGGGGUGGCAGAGGUCACUGCCCUCCCUGCAGGCCCCACCCAGGAGGCCCCCUCUGAGGAAUCUCUUUGCAGUUACCUAGCCCCAGGUGAGGACGGGCACUGGGUCCCCAUCCCCGAGGAGGAGUCGCUGCAGAGGGCCUGGCAGGACGCAGCUGCCUGCCCCAGGGGGCUGCAGCUGCAGUGCAGGGGAGCCGGGGGUCGGCCGGUCCUCUACCAGGUGGUGGCCCAGCACAGCUACUCCGCCCAGGGGCCAGAGGACCUGGGCUUCCGACAGGGGGACACGGUGGACGUCCUGUGUGAAGUGGACCAGGCAUGGCUGGAGGGCCACUGUGACGGCCGCAUCGGCAUCUUCCCCAAGUGCUUCGUGGUCCCCGCCGGCCCUCGGAUGUCAGGAGCCCCCGGCCG